UUCCCUGUCUGCUGCUGCCAGAGUCCACCUCCCCAGAGGGCUGAUAAUCGGAUGCUUCUGAACUUCUUCGCUGCCUCCUAUAUUCAGAAGCCCGGGCUCCUCUGGCACAAAGUCCAGACCUCUGCCCUCUGCCCGGGGGCUUGCCUUUCCAGACCUUCCUUUUCCAUGCUGCUGUAAAUCCACUCUGAUGCCCACAGCAUGCCCUACAGUUUACUUACCACUCAUCUGUUAUGAGGCAGUGGGAUUCAUGGGGGAUGCUGGGAAAACCAGGACGCACAAAGACAGACAGUCUCUUGCCUCUGCGGAGGUCUGGAUCCAGGAAAAGGACUGCCUAAAGUACUGUGGCAAGGGCAGAUGAGGUGCUUUCGUGAAAGUUAUGUGCCCUCAAGUUUGACAGAGUGUGGCAUAUUUUCUGUGGACCAGGCCCCAGACCAGUACAGUGAUAUGUCUUCUUGGAACGAAAUCCACACGGCUGGAGGAAGUCAUGCUUGGUAUGAUGCCAUUGCUCCCAUCUGGGUACCUGCACUUUCACCUUGACUCUGUAAUGUACCAUCUGUGUGUCUGGAGCAUCCUUACCCAGAGAA